rnacentral:ncRNA from 1 species
CACGUAGGAAAACUGUAACUGUAAAAAGACACUGAGUUUGAAGGAAUUUCUCUUUGAAUCUAGGAAGAUCACUACCUUUGAAAAUAUCACCUUCUGAUCGAGGCCCAGCCCAUGGACGGUGUGAGGCCAGUAGCUGCCCCCGGCACACUGGGCCCGGGUCUUCCCGGAGUCGGGUUACUUGGGAAUGCAGCCCAAAGCGGGUGGUAAACUCCAUCUAAAGCUAAAUACCAGCACGAGACCGAUAGUCAACAAGUACUGUAGGGAAAGUUGAAAAGAACUUUGAAGAGAGAGUUCAAGAGGACGUGAAACCAUUAAGAGGUAAACGGGUGGGGUCCGCCCAGCCUGCCCAGAGGAUUCAAGCCAGCGG